rnacentral:lncRNA from 1 species
GGAUAUGACAUAUUGUCUUCUACCAAUCUACUUGUUGUAUGUGGGAUAGUUGAGAGCAGGAUACUUAGGAAAUUAUUUUGGCCAUCCAACCUCCUCCAUUGUGACAUCAGAGCAGUGACUUCUACUUCUUGCCUUCUCCCAUUUUACCAGUGGCGUAGCUGGGUGCAGGCACAGUUUUGGGGUGAGGAGGUCAGUUCUCCAUCGGCAUGCCCUGAGAUAACCCAGAAGGGAAGUCGUAUCUGCUGCCUGCCAAGCACCUCCACGGAGCCUGGAGGAGCCUUCACGGUUCUGCAAGCAGGAAUUCCGCUGAAAUUACCAUCUGCAGAGUCAGACAAGCCUUUCAGCAGCACAGAGGCUCUCUGUGUGGGCAGAGUCUCCCACAUGUGGCUGGUUGGCACGGCCAGCCAGCUGUGGGUCACCUGUGGGCACCAGGCAGGCAAAGCCACAUACUGAGCAAGGAGAAAAAUCAUAACCCUGUGGAAACUAGGAAACCAUUCACCACAUCUGAUGUUGAAUAUUCAAGCAAUGUGGCACACAUGGAUCCCUUAGAGAGGAUCAACAUUUGCUCCAAAUUCCUCUAACUCAAAAGGAGUCAUCUUAAACAUAUAUGGAGUCCCCUGUCUCCAUCUCCCUCUCUGUCUCUCCCUCUGUCUUUCACACACACACACACACACACACACACACAAACACACACACUAUACACAUACAAUUUCAUAUCAAAUGUACCUGAGGGCAAAAGCAGACAUACACACAGUCACUUUUAUUCCAUAUUUUUGAUGAGGAUUAUUUUAGGCUGGUUACUUUUAAAAACUGCAGACGAGAAGGAGGCUCUGAGGAGUAGAAUUUACUUACCCUUUGUUAAGAGACAUUUACAUUGCAAAGGAAAUCUCCCUCUGUAAAGAUGUCUCCCUCUCUGUACCAGGAAGAAGGGGGGAUGACCUUAUCUCUAGAAACUCUUAAUCAAUGCCGAAGGCUGGGACUUAAAUCUGCAUUUGUUUACUGUACUUGUGUGGUAACCUCCCAUGAUGAUUCCUCCUCCACCCCCAACAUCCUCCUUUGUCUUUAGCUAAAAAUAAUAUUUAAGGUGGUGGCUUCAGCCAUUUACUUAACCUGGUUUGAUUCUUAUCUAAAAGUUAUAGGACCACCCUAUAACCAGACCCCACCUGCACUGAUACCAUUUUAACAACUUUCUUUUACAUGUUCUCUCCUUUGUCUUAUAAAGAGAUGACUCACACACCUAUGCCUUAAAUUUAGCCCUACCCUCAACCCAUGUUUGCAGCAGCUCUUUACUGCCCAUGGGUCCUGUCCCCAUGCUAUUCCAUGCUAUUCUCUAAAUAAAAGAGCACUACUGCCAGACCUUGAGAGUCCA